UGUAACCACGUGGCUAACCACCUUCAAAAUUCCCCAACCUGGGGUAUCCGAUAUCUUCAUUGAUAUACACCUCAAUGGGUAUCUUUCAAAGCACAGUCAUGCUUUGAUCCAUAAUCCAGAUAACCUCGGGGAUUCCCCGUCCAUUCGUUGGUUUCCCCUUGUGGCUCUCGUGAAAGGGAAAUUUUUAUUACAAUUUAUAUUAAUUAUCUGUCUCCAGUAAAACUGUAUAAAUUCUCUUUUUUAUUAUUAUACCUGAUUUAUUUAUUUUUUAUUGGCUGAUCUUCGAUUGUUAUUGAUUUUACUGGUUGGAAAAAACAAACUUGACUUGACUCUGUCUAGCUUGUUUAUCCAUUUAUCGUAACAUUCAGUUUACGCUGCUGCGGGAUGGCGCAAAAUACACAUUUAAUUAACAGCGUAUCGCUGGCAUAUAUCAGUAGAUACGGUACACAUUGAAUUGGUCAUUAUUACUGCAAUAGCUUAGAUGUUUCCAAAGUAUAACAGCCCGGAGGUUCCCUACAUUCGAGUAUCUUUUGUUUGAUUAUUUUUGGCCUAAACCUUUUUUGAAUUAGUUUUUCUGUAAUUUUUUUUUUGUGUGUGUGCUGGUGGCAGGGUGGGCGGGCACAUGAUAUUUCUCAUGUUUUUAACCUUUUUAAAGGUUUUGCUCGCCCUUCAGAAUUAUCCAUUCAAAAUUUCUGUAUAUUACAGUAUUAUGGAGUAUUCAAAUAAACUAUAUCUAUCUAUUUAGUAAUUAGUACCGGUAGUCUAUGUCUAUCUUUCCUUUUAAUUUAUCUUGCAUAUUUUUAUUGAAUACCGGUAUCAGAAUAUUGGUAUAGACUAAUAGAACUGUAGAAAGAUAUAAUAAAAAUUGUUUAUAUUUAAACAGGCAUUAGAAUUGUUAUAUUUGAGUAUUUAGUUACUAAUCUGAGCAAGGUCAGAAGGUUGAGGUGACUGAAUAUGAAUGAAGAUUACAUAAAACAAACAAAUUCAACGCAAGCCAGUUUGCUUAUGACAUCACUCGAUAGCUUGAGAGAACAAAACAGUCUCUGCGAUUUCGAUGUCAAAGUUGGUGACAAAUCCUUCCAUGCUCAUCGCUGUGUCUUGGCAGCCUCAUCAGGAUACUUUAAAGUAAUGUUUUUAAGCAAAAUGAAGGAAUCUCGUGAUGGUUUUAUUAAUAUGAAAGAUGUUGAUCAAAAUGGGAUUUCCCAAUGUAUAGAGUUCAUGUAUAAAGGAGGAGCAAAUUUGAAAAUGGAAUACGUUCAACAAAUUCUGCAAGCAUCCAACCUGUUACAAAUGGUUAGUUUGACAAACUUUUGCUUCCAUUACUUGGAAACCAAUCUGUCUCGAACCAAUUGUCUUUUUGUCAUCAACUUGGCUCAAGCAUACGAUCGUCAUGAUGUAAAAGAACAAGCAGAACAUGUGCUGAUCACUAAUUUCAAAUCAGUAAUUUCCUCCGAGAUGUUCCCGUUUAUUAUCAAGCCAGAUCUCCUGCGUUACAUAGAAGUUUCAAAUGUAAGUUAUCAAACAUCAUGGCAAGCUAUGAUAACAUGGGCAAGAGCAAAAGAUGAACAUGCAGAGAGAUGUUUCGGCAAUCUUGUAACAGUCAUCAAUAUCCAGACUUAUCCUUUCAAGUUUCUUCUGGAGACAGUGUUAGAAGAACCACUGGUGAAAAGUAAUAACAUUGCAAAGAAUUCAGUCAUCACUGUAUUAUUCUCUAAUGUCAAGAAUCUUGAGACGAAUCUUGAGAUUGACAACUGCUUCAUGCUGAAGAAUAUGGCUGAAACUCAUCAAGCACUUUCACAACUGUUACGCCUUCCAAUAGCCUGAAAAUCAUUCAAAGACAGCCAAGCAAUGGAGUCAUGUUGGAAAGAGUUUUGGGAUAAUCGCUUCCCGGCUACAAGCAAUGGCCAACACGGGAACUUGUAUUCUCUUUCCAAGCUGGGGAAAUGAUGGGGAAGCUAUACAAAGUUCAAGAGUUUGUUUCUUACCUACCUGACUCGCAUGAAGGAUGGAAAGUUCGGUAUCUCAUAAACAAAGCUUUUGAAGCUGGAAUACUCUUAGGAGUUGAAGAAAUUUCACAACAAGAUGGAAGAUUAAUAUGGAAUCCUGACAUUCCCAGCAAAACCAACAAAACAGGAGGAAUUGCAAACAAUGGAUAUCCUGACUUGAACUAUUUCCAGGAUCUGUGUGAUGCUCUGAAUGCAAAGGGAAUAGAGUAGAUAGUGUAUCUGGACAGCUUAUAUAAAAUACUAUUCUCGCAUCAUGAUGACCCAAUCUAAAAUAAAGGCAGUCAUUGAUAUAUAGGGAUCUACUAUUUGUUCCAGAUCUGCAUUACCCAGCCAAUUUAUUACACAUUGGGUGAGGUGAAGAACAUUGGAUUUAAAGCCGGUGUUUUUCAAUACCACACUUUUAACACACGCAACUUAUUGACGAAAAACUAAUCAUAUAUUAUAGCGACAUUUUUUUUACUACAUUUUAUUCAACUAAGCGGUUAACAUUCGCAGAAAAGCAACAAAAUUCUCUCUGAACCGACAGUAAUCUGCGGUUGGGAACCACUGUUUUCUACCUACGACACGGGAAGUUAUUGCAAAAAUAUAAUACACAUUAGUAAGUGCCGGUUAAAUCAAACAAUAAGUGUUUUUAUGCCGCACUCUUCUUUUUAUGGUUUGAAUAAAAUUACAUACACUA